rnacentral:rRNA from 1 species
GGUUUUUUGUAAAUAAUUUAAAAUUUAACCUGCUCAAUGAAUAUUUUAAAUAGCUGCAGUAUUUUGACUGUACAAAGGUAGCAUAAUCAAUAGUUUUUUAAUUAAAAGCUGGAAUGAAUGGUUUGAUAAAAUAAAAUCUUUUUUAAAUUUAAAAUUUAAAAUUUUUUUAUUAGUUAAAAAACUAAUAUAAAAUUAAAAGACGAGAAGACCCUAUAGAGUUUUAUAAAUAUUUAAUAUAAUUAAAUUUAUUUUAAUAUAAUUAUUAUAAAAAUUUAUUUAAUUGGGGUGAUUAUUAAAAGUUAAUGAACUUUAAUUUUUAAUAAACAAAUUUAAUUGAAUUUUUGAUCUUUAAUUUAAAAUUAAAAAAAUAAAUUACCUUAGGGAUAACAGUGUAAUUUUUUUAGAAAGAUCUUAUAGAUAAAAAAGAUUGC